AGAGUUUGAUCAUGGCUCAGAACGAACGCUGGCGGCGUGGAUAAGACAUGCAAGUCGAGCGCUGAUUACGGGGUAGCAAUAUUCCGUAGUUGGAGCGGCGCAAGGGUGCGUAACACGUGGGUAAUCUGCCGUGAAGUCUGGGAUAACUCGCUGAAAGGCGAGCUAAUACCGGAUGUGAACAUUGGGAGGCAUCUUCUGAUGUUUAAAGUUGGGGACCGUAAGGCCUGACGCUUCAUGAUGAACCCGCGGCCUAUCAGCUAGUUGGUGAGGUAACGGCCCACCAAGGCUAAGACGGGUAGCUGGUCUGAGAGGACGACCAGCCACACUGGAACUGAGACACGGUCCAGACACCUACGGGUGGCAGCAGUCGAGAAUUUUUCACAAUGGGGGAAACCCUGAUGGAGCGACGCCGCGUGGGGGAUGAAUGGCUUCGGCCCGUAAACCCCUGUCAUUCGCGAACAAUGCCUGCGGUCUAAUAAAUCGCAGGUUGAUAGUAGCGGAAGAGGAAGGGACGGCUAACUCUGUGCCAGCAGCCGCGGUAAUACAGAGGUCCCAAGCGUUGUUCGGAUUUACUGGGCGUAAAGGGUGCGUAGGCGGUCGGGUAAGUCUGAUGUGAAAUCUCCGAGCUCAACUCGGAAACGGCAUUGGAUACUAUUCGGCUUGAGGUCUGGAGGGGGGACUGGAAUUCUCGGUGUAGCAGUGAAAUGCGUAGAUAUCGAGAGGAACACCAGUGGCGAAGGCGAGUCCCUGGACAGGUCCUGACGCUGAGGCACGAAAGCUAGGGGAGCAAACAGGAUUAGAUACCCUAGUAGUCC
rnacentral:rRNA from 1 species